AACGGGGGCGGCAAGCGUUAUCGGGAAUCACUGGGCGUAAAGCGUCUGUAGGUGGUGAUGCAAGUCACUGGUGCAAAACUCUGGCUCAACCGGAGGAAAGCCAGUGAAACUGCAUGACUAGAGUGUGGGAGAGGUAGAAGGAAUUCCCUGAGUAGCGGUGAAAUGCGUAGAUACAGGGAAGAACACCGGAGGCGAAAGCGUUCUACUGGAACACAACUGACACUGAGAGGCGAAAGCUAGGGGAGCGAAUGGG
rnacentral:rRNA from 1 species